rnacentral:rRNA from 1 species
AGACCCGAAACCCGGUGAUCUAGCCAUGGGCAGGUUGAAGGUUGGGUAACACUAACUGGAGGACCGAACCGACUAAUGUUGAAAAAUUAGCGGAUGACCUGUGGCUGGGGGUGAAAGGCCAAUCAAACCGGGAGAUAGCUGGUUCUCCCCGAAAGCUAUUUAGGUAGCGCCUCGUGAAUUCAUCUCCGGGGGUAGAGCACUGUUUCGGCUAGGGGGCCAUCCCGGCUUACCAACCCGAUGCAAACUGCGAAUACCGGAGAAUGUUAUCACGGGAGACACACGGCGGGUGCUAACGUCCGUCGUGAAGAGGGAAACAACCCAGACCGCCAGCUAAGGUCCCAAAGUCAUGGUUAAGUGGGAAACGAUGUGGGAAGGCCCAGACAGCCAGGAUGUUGGCUUAGAAGCAGCCAUCAUUUAAAGAAAGCGUAAUAGCUCACUGGUCGAGUCGGCCUGCGCGGAAGAUGUAACGGGGCUAAACCAUGCACCGAAGCUGCGGCAGCGACGCUGAUGCGUUGUUGGGUAGGGGAGCGUUCUGUAAGCCUGCGAAGGUGGCCUGUGAGGGUUGCUGGAGGUAUCAGAAGUGCGAAUGCUGACAUAAGUAACGAUAAAGCGGGUGAAAAGCCCGCUCGCCGGAAGACCAAGGGUUCCUGUCCAACGUUAAUCGGGGCAGGGUGAGUCGACCCCUAAGGCGAGGCCGAAAGGCGUAGUCGAUGGGAAACGGGUUAAUAUUCCCGUACUUGGUGUUACUGCGAAGGGGGGACGGAGAAGGCUAUGUUGGCCGGGCGACGGUUGUCCCGGUUUAAGCGUGUAGGUGUGUGUUCCAGGUAAAU